UGAUUUCUGGAAACUCUUCUC
rnacentral:siRNA from 1 species